rnacentral:lncRNA from 1 species
UUUCUUCUUUUCCAGAUUUUUGCAUGAGAUCUUUCCUAAGUUUUUGCAUGUUUGGAUGAUGACAACAAUGUAAUUGGUUAUUUAGUUUAAAAGUUGUGAAUUCGUAUUUAAAUUGCUGCUCCUGAAUAGCAAGUGGUAUGUUUGAGAUUUGGGUUUCGGUUGGUGAAAGAAUAGCAGAAACAUUACAGAGAUGUGUUUUUUCGUGAGAUUGCAUGCAUUUGCAUGAAAAUGUUUUCCAGAAAUUGCACUUUGACCCCCCAAGUCUACCCUUAUGCCACUAUGGCCCAAGUAAUUGGAACAUUUAAUCAAUUUGAUCCCUCUAAGUUUCUCUUUGUGCCGCAAUAGCCCAAGCAUGUUUUAGUAUCUUGCAAUUAAGUCCUAAAAUCAUUGCAACUUCAAUCAUUGUUUGGCUCUUUCUUUAUUUUUGGAAUCUUUGAAGUGCUUAAACGAUUUAUUUGGACUUGAAUGUUUGAGUAAUGCUUGUUUUGGGUCAUUAGUAGAUGCUAUAUUUAGAAAUUGAACGGGUUAUUCCGCUUUCUUGGUCUUUAAGCAUUUUUUGAGCUCAUUCAAGUUGCAAUUAGGUGGGUUUUGAUGUUUUUGCUUAUACUUUACUUUUAAAUUGAUGCCUUGACCCCUUUAUUGUUUUGAAGUCAUUUUCCCUCAUUUGCUUACCAUUAGGGGAAGGUAUAAUUUCUUUUAUCUUUUUAGUCUCUCCUAUGUGAUCCAAUGUGCUAAGUGAAUUGCAUGACUACUUUGCUUUCUUUACAUUUCUUAAAUUCCUUUCAUUCCUUUCAUUUACUUUUUGCUUUAUUAAGUUUUUUCUUUUAUGGGGUAUGUGUACACCUCUUGGCUUGUAAUAGAUAGGGUUUGAAGGAGCAUUCGAUGAAGAGCUGUUGAAGACUUGUGCCUAGCUAGCAAAUGUAAUAGUUAGGGCCUUAAUCACCUUAUGUGUCUUGCAUGUCUAUGUGCUAUAUGUUUAAUCGUUUUCUUAGGUUUUGGCAUUUAGAUAUGCAUGCUAAGUGUUAUGUGCUAUGUGAUCGACAUGUCUACUCGCUUUCCAUAUCCUUGAAUGAAUGUGAUGAAUGUACGUUUCCACUAGUCCAACGCUAGUCGGAAUUCAUAGAAUGGGCUAGUCCAACGCUAGACCCUUAGGGAUUUCCCCUCGU